rnacentral:rRNA from 1 species
GCGUAGAGAUCUGGAGGAAUACCGGUGGCGAAGGCGGCCCCCUGGACGAAGACUGACGCUCAGGUGCGAAAGCGUGGGGAGCAAACAGGAUUAGAUACCCUGGUAGUCCACGCCGUAAACGAUGUCAACUAGCCGUUGGAAUCCUUGAGAUUUUAGUGGCGCAGCUAACGCAUUAAGUUGACCGCCUGGGGAGUACGGCCGCAAGGUUAAAAACU